AAGUCGUAACAAGGUUUCCGUAGGUGAACCUGCGGAAGGAUCAUUAAUGAAAUGCAAGGGUGUUCUUUUUAGAAGCCCGACCCAAAUCAUUUUCACACUGUGCACACUACUACUUACACCCAUUUUAAACCCAUUAUAAGUCUUAAGAAUGUCAACAGUCUCUUAAUUGAGCAUAAAUAAAACAAAA
rnacentral:misc_RNA from 1 species